rnacentral:rRNA from 1 species
UCCGUAGGCGGUUUAGUAAGUCAGUGGUGAAAGCCCAUCGCUCAACGGUGGAACGGCCAUUGAUACUGGUAGACUUGAGUGUGAUUGAGGUAGCUGGAAUGGAUAGUGUAGCGGUGAAAUGCAUAGAUAUUAUCCAGAACACCGAUUGCGAAGGCAGGUUACUAAGUCAUAACUGACGCUGAGGCACGAAAGUGUGGGGAUCAAACAGGAUUAGAUACCCUUGUA